AUGGGUCAGAUUUUUUCCGGGAAAGCUAUAUAUUAUUCACCAGAAUCGGCUCUUGCCGCUGGGAAGGAACAACCUGGCAAGUCUACAAAAGCUACAAAUAAAUACUACAAAAAAUCAAGUAUAGACGAUCUAGUUUUAAGGGCGACAAUGGACUCAAUUACUAGAAUUGGAUAA
rnacentral:rRNA from 1 species